rnacentral:rRNA from 1 species
UACGAAGGGGGCUAGCGUUGCUCGGAAUCACUGGGCGUAAAGCGCACGUAGGCGGAUUGUUAAGUCAGGGGUGAAAUCCUGGAGCUCAACUCCAGAACUGCCUUUGAUACUGGCGAUCUCGAGUCCGGGAGAGGUGAGUGGAACUGCGAGUGUAGAGGUGAAAUUCGUAGAUAUUCGCAAGAACACCAGUGGCGAAGGCGGCUCACUGGCCCGGUACUGACGCUGAGGUGCGAAAGCGUGGGAGCAACAGGAGUAGA